AUACUGCCAGACUUGGAACCGGGAGAGGUAAGAGGUACUACAGGGGUAGGAGUGAAAUCUUGUAAUCCCUGUGGGACCACCUGUGGCGAAGGCGUCUUACCAGAACGGUUCGACGGCGAGGGACGAAAGCUGGGGGCACGAACCGGAUUAGAUACCCGGGUAGUCCCAGCCGUAACGAUGCUCGCUAGGUGUCAGGCAUGGCGCGACCGUGUCUGGUGCCGCAGGGAAGCCGUGAAGCGAGCCACCUGGGAAGUACGGCCGCAAGGCUGAAACUUAAAGGAAUUGGCGGGGGAGCACAACAACGGGUGGGUAAGCCUGCGGUUUAAUUGGACUCAACGCCGGACAACUCACCGGGGGCGACAGCAAUAUGUAGGCCAAGCUGAAGACUUUGCCUGAAUCGCUGAGGGGAGGUGCAUGG
rnacentral:rRNA from 1 species